GUUACUCAGCUAUAAAAACUUCCCAUCAGGCUGUCAGUGGAGUUCACAGCACGUCACUUUCAACAUAAACCAUGUUUUCUGUAGCUCUGCUGCUGCUGUUGGCAGCUGGAUGUGUGAAGUGUCAACAGUUGACACAGCCAGCCUCUGUGACUGUGCAGCCAGGUCAACGUCUGACCAUCACCUGUCAGGUCUCUUAUUCUGUUAGUGGCUAUCGUACAGCUUGGAUCAGACAGCCUGCAGGGAAAGGACUGGAGUGGAUUGGAAGUGCACAUGUUGGAUGGACAACAUCCUACAAAGAUUCCCUAAAGAACAAGUUCAGUAUCGACUUAGACUCUUCCAGCAACAGAAUGACUCUAAACGGACAGAAUGUGCAGCCUGAAGACACUGCUGUGUAUUACUGUGCCAGAGAGCCACAAUGACACAAACCAUCAGGA